AAGGAGCAUUACCAUGAAUCUGUAAAACCUUACACAGCGUUUUUAGAAGCCACAAGGGCAAAGAACUUUGAUUCGGUUGAAAUGCGUUUUCCGACCAUAGCAGAAGAAUAUCCAAAAGACAAUGCGUUUACUCAAAAAAGGGCCAA